rnacentral:rRNA from 1 species
GACGAACGCUGGCGGCGUGCUUAACACAUGCAAGUCGAACGGAAAGGCCCUGCUUUUGUGGGGUGCUCGAGUGGCGAACGGGUGAGUAACACGUGAGUAACCUGCCCUUGACUUUGGGAUAACUUCAGGAAACUGGGGCUAAUACCGGAUAGGAGCUCCUGCUGCAUGGUGGGGGUUGGAAAGUUUCGGCGGUUGGGGACGGACUCGCGGCUUAUCAGCUUGUUGGAGGGGUAGUGGCUUACCAAGGCUUUGACGGGUAGCCGGCCUGAGAGGGUGACCGGCCACAUUGGGACUGAGAUACGGCCCAGACUCCUACGGGAGGCAGCAGUGGGGAAUAUUGCACAAUGGGCGGAAGCCUGAUGCAGCAACGCCGCGUGCGGGAUGACGGCCUUCGGGUUGUAAACCGCUUUCGCCUGUGACGAAGCGUGAGUGACGGUAAUGGGUAAAGAAGCACCGGCUAACUACGUG